UCAGGACUGGCCGUUGUCUGAAAGCAAACCUCAAGGACAGGACUUCUGGACUCCGCAGCCACUUCAGGCUGCUGCUCCAUCGCAUGAAUUCCAGCAGGUGGCGCUGCACCCCGCGCGGACCCGGCUUGCCUCUCGGCCCCAGGGAGGUCGGUUGAUGAGCAGUCGGGAAGUGGGUCUGCGCGCACCCCGCUGCAGCUGUGGCAAACGCAAACGAUGACACACAGGCUUGACGAGGGCCUUUGUCAGAAGCAAUGGGGAUCUGGCGUCACCGCACAAUGGAAAACAAAGUGCUUCUGCCUGGCUGGCCAGAAUGCACGUUUGCUCACUAUUGAUGCUGGGGCAUUUACAGGCAGAAUGAGUUCAUGUGAAAUUUCAGGAUCUGCCAUGACUCAGAUUCACUUUCUGUAAACCAGAGUCAACAUUACAUUUCCCUUUACUCUGGGCCAUUCCUUGAAUUUUUAGGUCACCAGUUGUUUUUGUACUAACUGAAGGGAUUUGAGUAUUUCACAAGCACCUUAUUUUUAUUAGCAUUUUUAGGGCAUUACCAAUUUGGGACGGAUCUGUAGUGUGAGAGAUUGUUGUCACUCUUAGCUCCAAACAUAGGUUGACUUUAUAUAUUAUUUACAUGUUCAGAAUUAUACUGUGUAGAAAUUCAAAUGAAACUUGCAAAAUACUUUUCUGGCAGGAAGCCCUGGAGAGGAUCGUUCAUGGAAACAAGGAUGACGACUGGGGUAAGAAAUGCAGGUGACUCGUGAGUGGUCAGGGAGUGGAAGAGAAGACGGCUGGAAGGUUUUAGCAUUCAGAAAAAAAAUGGAGACAACUAGAGUUGAUCUGAAGAUUAUGGCAGAAUUCAAUAUUGGGGGAAAGAAACAAGAUGGGGGUUAGAAAUUAGAAACAGCAGAGCUCCACAGGUUGGAAAGGUUGGAAAGGAUUUGAGCAAGAGAACAAGGAGCCUGCUAAUAGCACCCUGGGUUUACAUCAAGAGAAGCACCUGGAGAGAAUUAACUCGGGAGGAGGUGGGGGCAUGGGAAACCUUUUCAUCUCCAAGAGCGGGCAGGAACAGCAGCUGGCCUGAACUUGAAGGUACACCAGGUAGCUUGCGUGGGCCAGGAGAAGGUGAUUCUCUUCUAUGCCUCUCUCCAACGCCCUGCUUCUGAUGCUGCUCCUCUACCUGUAUUGAGGGGAAGAUACAUCCCUAAGAAGUUCCCUGAACCCCAUUCUUUGUUGUGGCUAACUGGUCCCCUUGGAAUUUUUCUACUAAUUUUCAAUUCCCCCUCUCACCUGGUGAAAUCUUGAAUCUUACUGUUCAAUAAAAGUUCUUCUACCGAAAGUCAGUGUAGAAAGCCCAGGCAUUGUCCCAUAGCUGGCCCUGUGUGUUUGCACUGAUUCCUCAGAAUAAGUUUGCAGAUAGCUUAACUUCCAGAAUUCCUGAGUUUCACUAGUCCCCCUUCUUUAUGAUGAAUUGGAAAAAGGGUAUAUUCUGGGAUAAAGCAAGAGGAAACUGGGUGCAGCAAAGAUCCCUAGACCAUUUUUCCCAGUGGCCCAUUGCUCCUGCUGCUUUUUUCAUACCAGCUGAAUCUCCCUAAACCCCACGUCUGCGGCAAAGUCUUCGUGGUGAAACAGGCAGUCUUCAGUACAAGAAGCGUCAAUCUCAGAUCUUACUCAUUUCCAACCUGUACCAAUCAAAGGCCCUCCCAGCCAAGAUAAAAGCAAAGUCUCCCUCCUCCAGAGCACAUGGGAAUGGCCCCCCAGUAGCUGGGGCAUGCAAGCUAAUGAAGUUUCAUCUUCCACCUCUAUCCAAAUAUGACCUUGCUGAUACCAUCUCCUAUUAGAUGACAAAUCCGGAUGUUUCUAUUGCAUGGUUGUUAUUUGCCACAUGCUUCCUGGACAAGUUUCUAGGUAACCUUAAUGUCUGUGCUUCUGGGGAAGGAGGAGUAGAAAAUAACUCACCUCUUCAGUAAGUGGUUUUAAAAAUAUAACAGUGUUUAAAAGCUUUUAGAGAGCAGCUCUCCUUCCGG
rnacentral:lncRNA from 1 species